rnacentral:rRNA from 1 species
GGUGAACGCUGGCUGCAGGCUUAACACAUGCAAGUCGAGGGGAAGCGCCGGGGGAGCUUGCUUCCCCGGGCGGCGACCGGCGCACGGGUGAGUAACGCGUCUCCAACCUGCCUCUGACUGAGGGUUAACCCGUCAAACUUCCGCCUAAAACCCCAUCGCCUCGUCUGCGGACACCCAACGUCUAUUGACGUUUUCCUCUUUCAUAGGCGGGGAUGGGUCUGCUUAGCUUGUUGGCGGGGUACCGGCCCACCAAGGGUACGUUCAGUGGUGGUUCUGAGAGGAAGGUCCCCCACAUUGGAACCGAGACACGGUCCAAACUCCUACGCGAGGCAGCAGUGAGGAAUACUGGGCAAGGGGCGAGAGCCCGAACAUGCCAAGUAGCGUGCAGGAUGACGGCCGUAUGGGUUGUAAUCUGCUGUGAUGCGGAGACAAAGUGAGGGACGUGUCCUUCACUGACGGUACCGAAUGAAUAAGGACCGGCUAACUCCGUG